rnacentral:rRNA from 1 species
CCCUACGGGACGAGCAGUGGGGGAUAUUGGACAAUGGGGGAAACCCUGAUCCAGCGAUGCCGCGUGAGGGAAGAAGGUUUUCGGAUUGUAAACCUCUGUGGAGGGGGACGAUAAUGACGGUACCCCUUUAGGAAGCCACGGCUAACUACGUGCCAGCAGCCGCGGUAAUACGUAGGGGGCAAGCGUUAUCCGGAUUUACUGGGUGUAAAGGGAGCGUAGACGGUACGCCAAGUCUGAAGUGAAAUGCCGCAGCUUAACUGCGGAACUGCUUUGGAAACUGGCGGGCUGGAGUGCGGGAGGGGUAA